UUGCCAGAUUGCCCUAUAAUCUGUUAAUUCACAAAUUCAAACGUGUUUUUGCAGGAUUUAGGAUGGAUGUUGGUUAGAAGUGGUAGGGACAUAUGCAUAUGCAGGUACAGUGAGUGAAAAUUACGAAAAUAUCCUUUUGCGGCUUCGGCAAGCUAGUGACCACCCGUUGCUAGUUAAGGGAUUUAGCUCAGAGUCUGUCGAUAGACCUUCUUCAGGAGUGACAAAGAACCUUCCUAAAUACAUGCAAGCCUAUUUGUUAAAUCUUUUGGAAACUCUCCACAUAUGCUGCUGCUUGUGUAGCGAUCCACCGGAAGAUGCAGUUGUUAGCCUUUGUGGACAUGUAUUCUGUUAUCAGUGUGUAUCUGAAUACUUGACAGGGGAUGACAACACAUGUCCAUCACCAAAAUGCAAAAGCACAAUUGAGCCUGAUGUGGUAUUUAACAAAGCCACGUUAAGGAAUUCUAUCUUUGAUGAUAUCG
rnacentral:lncRNA from 1 species